ACAGAGGUGGCAAGCGUUGUUCGGAAUUACUGGGCUUAAAGGGCGCGUAGGCGGUGGAGUAAGUCUGAGGUGGAAGAUUAGGGCUUAACCCUAAAAUUGCCUUGGAAACUGCAUCACUUGAGUCAGCGAGGGGAUGGCGGAAUUCCAGGUGUAGCGGUGAAAUGCGUAGAUAUCUGGAGGAAGGCCGGUGGCGAAGGCGGCCAUCUGGCGCUGAACUGACGCUGAGGCGCGAAAGCGUGGGGAGCAAACAGGAUUAGAUACCCUGGUAGUCCACGCCCUAAACGGUGGGUACUAGGUGUAGGGCUCGUAAGGGUUCUGUGCCGUAGGGAAACCAUUAAGUACCCCGCCUGGGGAGUACGGCCGCAAGGUUG
rnacentral:rRNA from 1 species